UGUAUUUGCUGUUUUCACCGGAGAGGCCUGGGGCUACCUUGGCAGUAGGAGAUUUAUUCUUGAGCUUGAUCAACAUUCUGAUGCUGUUAGUGGGCUUGACUUGGCCCUUAUUGAAACGGUUCUUGAAAUUGGAUCAGUUGGAAAGGGUUUCACUCAGGAUGAUAACACAUUCUUUGCUCAUAGUACAAUGGAGAGUGCCACAAAUGGAACUUUUAGCGCCCUCAAGGAUGCUCUAGGUUCGCUUAAGACUCAAAGCAUUAAGAUCUCAAGGGCCAGUAAAUCAAAUCCAGGGUUACCCCCAUCCUCACUGAUGUCAUUUCUGAAGAAGAAUCCAGAGACCUCUGGGGUAGUCCUUGAAGACUUUGAUGCUGCUUUUACUAAUAAAUUCUAUCACAGCCACUUGGAUGAUCUAUCAAAUAUAAACUCUUCAGCCAUAGUGGCUGCUGCUUCUAUUGUUGCCCGAAGUCUGUACAUUCUGGCCAGUGAUAAGAAGGAAAUAAAGAAUUCAGUUUUGAAUACCAUCAACAUAAAUGCGUCCUUGGUUGAAGAACUCCUUGGCUGCUUGUUAAGUUGUGAACCAGGUCUCACAUGUGAACUGGUAAAUCGCUACAUUGCUUCCUCUACAAGUUGCCCAAGCCAUUAUGUCGGAGUUGUCAUGGGGGAACCUUCCUCUCAGCCAUAUCUUGGUAAUGUGGGGGAUGUCUCUCGGUUUGUGUGGAAUUUCCUGGCAGAUAAAACAGCUAUACCUUCAAAGAAUAUGAGCUCUACUUGUCCGAAGGGUUGCAGUGGCAAUGGGGAAAUGUGUGUCAAAGUAGAGACAGACGGGAAGGG
rnacentral:misc_RNA from 1 species